UCCUGGAAGUCGAGUUUCACCAGGUAGCGGACCUGGAGCGCAGAUACCACGGAGCGCUUGUCGUGGAAGUCGAGUUUCACCAGGUGGACGACCUGGAGCGCAGAAACUACGGAGCGCUUGUCCUGGAGGUCGAGUUUCACCAGGUAGUGGACC
rnacentral:lncRNA from 1 species